rnacentral:ncRNA from 1 species
UCGUAAGGCUCAACCAGUAUGGGCCCCCUCUUGGGAAACCUUGAGGUGAGCAUUCGCCAAAUUCGGAGAAAUCCUCUCUUGUAAAAGAAGGACAAUUCCGAGCUAAAUUUUUCGGCUUAUACCGAAAAUAAAUGUGUAGAGACUAGAUGGCGGACCCCUUAAUCUUUAAUUUAUUUUAAAGAAAGGAGAUGGUAUAGUCCAGACCACAAACACUUAUGGU